rnacentral:tRNA from 1 species
GCGCUCAUAGCUCAAUGGAUAGAGCAUUCGACUCCGACUCGGAAGGUUGCAGGUUCGACUCCUGUUGAGCGCGCCA